ACGAAUCUUGAAGCCCGUGCUAAACAACUGAAGAAUUUAAACCGAAUCCACGGUCUGAAAAUAACAUAAAAACAAGGCGAAAAGAAAGAGGCAGAUCGGACAAAUCCAACGUGCAUCAGAAGAUCGUCGAAACGGUCGGAUCAGCUACGAGUUGUCAGAAUUCUGUGAUUUUUGACGCAAACUAGUGUCACAUCAUCGCGUGCUGUGACCGGGUUUCUUUUUUCUUAUCUGUUGCUACUACUAAACAUCUUUAUCAUUCAUAAAUAAAUAAUCUUUUGAUUACUCAUUAGCCGUCCAUUGUUUUCCUCUUCUUAGAAGUUGUAAGUUGGGGUGGUAAAGUACCCCCUAAAAAACAAUGAACGAUAGACCGUAAUCUACUUAAAUUAACUACUAUUCUGUCACGAUUGUUUUGCUGAUAUUCUCUAUAAUUUUCGAUACGGGAACUUUUUUUUUCUCAAUGUCAUCAUCGGAUAUAAAUUGCAUUUUUCUCUUAUCUAUCUUAAUUCUUGAUUGCCGGUGAUAUUAAUUUCUUCGUUCCCUUAUAUAAACUGUCACGCAUUGACAAACAAGUCUAGAACAAAAUAGCAAACAACCUGCCCGUCCAAUCGGCUCGCGAAAAUAGAUUGGUUUAGGACUGUCUUUUACGGUGAUGAAAAACAUUUUGUAACAAUUUACGUUAUGCAGAGUGAAAUCCCAAAUUAUAUUUUUAUAUUGGUUUCUUUAUUAAUUACCUCAAUAGAAAUCAUAUGGCUCAAUUCAAGAUAGAUAAUAUAACUGUGCAAAUAGAUUUUUUUUUAUCACGGCUGCCCAAUUUAUAUAUACACUUACAAUUGAUAAGGACAUAAGUUUUAUAAGAAUUUUAUAUCUCUAUACUGAAUAAUCAAAUUGAACGAGCAAUUGUGGUAAUAAUUGCCAAAUGUGUAACGUCAAAUAAAAAUUAUAAGAGUAAGAAUAUAUGUGUUAUACGCUGUCCUUAAAAUAUCAGUCCCCAAAUCGAAUAUCAUUCGUAAUUAUUAGCAUGAUAUAAACUGAGCAAACUUAUUUAAAUCGAUUUACCUCGGUCUUAUAAUUUCAUUCAUGACACAUAAAUAAAAUUGUAUGCAGCAUAAUGUUCAGAAUAUUUGUUAAUCAAUCUCUUAGAUAUUUUCAGCAAGAAAUAAUUAAGAGUUAUCUCAUCAAUGUCAACAACUUUAAAGCAAAAGCUUGUGUAUCCGAAGAAGAUGAUUUUUCACACUAGCAGGACUUUGCAAUUGCAAAUAUCCUGCGAAUUCAGCAUGCGAAAUUUGCUGCAUAGUAUAGUUUGAAGAAUCUGGAAUAUGAUUAGAUCUCAUUAUAGAAAUAGCAGCAGUAUCAUAACAAUAAACCAACGUUUAUAUGUAUAUUCAAUGUGUAGAACUGUAAAUAGGUGUACUAUUAUUAAUGUAAGAUUUCGUAGUGAAAAAUCGUACACGAGACUUAACGCUAAUUUGAUUCGGAGAAAGCUUUGAAAAAUAUUAGCUCAUAUAAAA
rnacentral:lncRNA from 1 species